rnacentral:rRNA from 1 species
GAUGAACGCUGGCGGCGUGCCUAAUACAUGCAAGUCGAGCGAAGCGGGGACGGGUGAGUAACACGUGGAUAACCUCCUAUAAGACUGGGAUAAUUUCGGGAAACCGGACCUAAACCGGAUACUUAUUAAUGGAUCCGCGCGGCAUUAGCUAGUUGGUAAGGUAACGGCUUACCAAGGCGACGAUGCGUAGACGACCUGAGAGGGUGAUCGGCCACACUGGAACGGAGACACGGUCCAGACUCCUACGGGAGGCAGCAGUAGGGAAUCUUCCGCAAUGGGCGAAAGCCUGACGGAGCAACGCCGCGUGAGUGAUGAAGGUCUUCGGAUCGUAAAACUCCGUUAUUAGGGAAGCGGUACCUAAUCAGAAAGCCACGGCUAACUACGUGCCAGCAGCCGCGGUAAUAC